UCCGCAGACACCGUCGGCGGAUUUCUUCAAGCCCGUUUACAUAAACUAGCAUCUGGCUUCUCUCUUCAAGAUUUCUUUCCUGCAGUCAUCUAGGGCAAGUGGAUUGGAUUUUGGAAGACCUUCUACAAAAAGCCAAUCAUUUCUCUUUAGAGAAAGACAACUUGCAGAGCAGACAAGGAUGAAGAAGAUGGGAAGGAAGACAACACCCCGUGCAGUUCAGCUGCCUCUUCAAGGUGGGCCAGAUCCCCACAGUUCCUUGCAGUGAGCCCAACCUUUUGAACACCUGGAGUUUUCAGACAUAAAGGCAAUAGAGCAGAAGUAGACCAAGGUCUUCAGAGCUGUCCUAGAACGCACCAGCAGCAGCAGCUCUCAGGCAUCUGAGCCGCACCCUGGCUCUCCCUGGUCUCCAUCCUCUGUAAGACCUCAAUGUCGUGGCAUUACUUUGGGAAACAGUUAGGUCAUGCUUAUACAGCUCUCAUGAAUAACGUUGGAGCCCUUAAAAGGAAGGCAUGAGAGAGGGGUGGUCUGUCUCUGCUCUCUGCUAGAACCUAGCAAGACUGCCUGCAUCUGCAAACAAGGAGGCAGGUCCGCAGAGAUGCCUCUCGUCUGCCAACACCUACCCUUUACAUCUCUCAACCUCCAGAGGUUCUGAGGGGACAGAUGCGAGAAG